CCCUUAGAUGUUCUGGGCCGCACGCGCGCUACACUGACGAAUGCAACGAGCUUAUAACCUUGGCCGAAAGGUCUGGGUAAUCUCCAAAUUUCGUCGUGAUGGGGAUAGAUUAUUGCAAUUAUUAAUCUUCAACGAGGAAUGCCUAGUAAGCGCAAGUCAUCAGCUUGCGUUGAUUACGUCCCUGCCCUUUGUACACACCGCCCGUCGCUCCUACCGAUUGAAUGGUCCGGUGAAGCGCUCGGACCGCGGCCUCUUGACGGUUCACUGUCGAUUGGCUGUGGGAAGUUCGUUAAACCUUAUCAUUUAGAGGAAGGAGAAGUCGUAACA
rnacentral:rRNA from 1 species